AAAAAGUUACAAUCCAGAUCGACUGCCAGCUUAAGAAAACAUCCGGAAAUCUGGUAAUACAAUAUAUAUUACCUUCUUUAGAUUAGCUCUAGUUAUGAACUUCUCAUUUUCAAAGAAUUUCAUAAUUUCCUGAAGCAUUUUCUUAUUUAUCUUUAAUGAUUUGGCCAAAUCAUCUAUGGUUGUCCAUUGUCGUCUGAAAUAUGAAAAUAACGAGUAAUAUGCAAAUAACGGACCUAGAUGUCCAGGUUAGAAAAAAAGAAUUUCAAUUUGCAUGCAAAUAACGCACCCAGAUGUCCAGGUUAGAAAAUAAGAAUUUCAAUUUGCAUAUCACUCGUUAUUUUCAUAUUUCAGACGAUAAUGGACAACCAUAGAUGAUUUGGCCAAAUCAUUAAAGAUGAAUAAGAAAAUGCUUCAGGAAAUUAUGAAAUUCUUUGAAAAAGAAAUGUUCAUAUCUAAAGCUAUUAUGUAUUCAUUGUAUUGUAUAUUGUAUUACCGGAUGUUUUCUUUAGCUGGUACGUAGUCGAUCUGGAUUGUAAUCAGUAAUUCUUUUCCAUUAGAUUUAUGAUGUUGUGAGGUACCGGAUAUUUAAGAUG
rnacentral:lncRNA from 1 species